AGAAGCUCAGGCUCAGCUAGAAGCAGCUGCUCACCUGGUAAAGCUGCUGGACUCACCUGCUCAGGGUUUCCUGAAAUCAGGCUGGUCGGAGAAAACAGUCGCUGUGCAGGUUCUCUGCAGAUCAGGAGGUCUGGAGUUUGGAGACCAACAUUUAUCCAAUGGUGGUCUUUGGAGAAAGCAGCUGUUUUUUGUUCACAUCUUCGCUGCGGCUCUGCCGUGUCUGCAGAUCGGACACGUUCAGUCAACUCCACACUGACAGUGGGGAUCACGGACGACUGCUUUAACUCUGGAUCUGAUUUCAUGAAGUGUUCAUUUUUCGAUGAACAUGACUCCAGCAGUAAUCUCACCUGCUCAGACCUGCUGCUCCAUCCAGUCCUCUCCGUGUCCUCCUCCUCCUCCAUCCUC